rnacentral:lncRNA from 1 species
ACCUGUCUAUUCUCUUAUUUACAGUUUUUUUUUUUCUUUUCUUCUGAGAUUUUCUAAGUCAACUCUAUCAUCUUCUUCCUUGAUUGACCAUUCUCACAUUAUGGAGCAAGCAUUUGGGUUCUCAUCGCUGAACAUCUGAGGUGCAUGAAGUGGGUUCCCUAUGUAAGGAGCUUGAGGAGGCAGAGUUUGAGGAGGCAGAGCAUGAGGCGGGUACCCGUAUCCUGCGCCGAAUCCAGGUCCAUAUACCAUUCCAUAUGGAACUUGUCCGAAUCCCGGUAGACCCGCUGGAUACUCCAUUUUGUGCCCCUCCAUUUUUCCACCACCAUUGCCCCCCUCUUCCUCCUUUUUCUUC